GCCACUAGCGGACAGCAGCGUCAUCAACAAAUAAACAAAACGUAGAACUACGUGAACAAUAAAACACAAAUUUCUGUACAAACACUAGUGAUUAUGACGUUAAAAAUUACAUUUUCGUGAACCACAAAUUAAGAGCUUUCGAUUGAUGUAUAUAUCAUCGUUGUCCGAUUCAUUUAAAGAAAAAUCAUGUUUCAAGAUGGCUUGACUCAGUUUUUUGAAAAUUUCUCGGAAACCACUUAACCACAAAUUACCACAAAUUAGAUUUCGAACUCACAAAUUAACCACUAAAUAUUGGUGAUAAAAGAAUUGAUAAAAAUUACUUUGUCAAGCCAUCUUCAUAUAUGCAAUUUUCACUUCCAAUGAUCGCAGCACUGUUUCAGAUACACUAGAUUUUCGAACUAGUAACGUGCUGUUAUACUCCGAUGAAAUAUUUCGUGCGCACCGUUCACGGUUACGCGAUAAAAUUUGACGACGAAUCCGACCAAAUAUUCUUUACUGUUCCUUCGUCAAAGCGAAAAAGACAAACAAACAGCAAGCGUUACAGAGACGAAACGUCAAAAUUGAUCCAAGCUAGAGUGAAUCCGAGAGAACAGUGGUUGGCUGAACUUGACAAUACAAAUGGAUGCAGCAUUCAAAGCAAACGUUCGUUUGCUAUGUUUUCGUUCUUUAGUGCCGGUUUGUUUUUGCUUAGCAUGGAGGAAAGCUGUGUGGUAGCCGGUCCAGUACGUGCCGCUUGAGGCUAUCUUUUUGGCGGAACACGAUCGCACAGUGCGAACAGACGGACGGUUUUUGGUGUCAACAUCGACUGAGAACAAACCCUAACCAUGGCCCGUACAAAGCAGACCGCUUGUAAAUCCACUUGUGGAAAAGUUCCUCGUAAGCAGUUGGCCACAACGUCAGCUCGUAAAAGUGCCCCGGCUACUGGUGGAGUAAAGUAGCCUCAUCGUUAUCGUCCCGGAACAGUCGCUCUGCGUGAAAUCCGUCGUUACCAGAAGUCGACUGAGUUACUGAUCCGCAAGCAUCCGUUCCAGCGUUUGGUCCGUAAAAUUGUCCAGGACUUCAAACUUUUCCAGAGCUCUGCUGUUAUGGCUCCGCAGGAAGCUAGUGAAGCUUACCUUGUCGGUCUUUUCGAAGAUACCAAUCUGUGUGCCACCCACGCCAAAGGUGUCACCAUUAUACCAAAGAACACCCAGCUGACUCGUCGUAUCCGUGGUGAACGUGCUUAAAGUGGUUAUCAGUUUCGUUUGCUUCUAAAUUUGUAAAACAAACGGCCCUUAUGAAGGCCACCAACACUUUGAAUGAAGAUUUGAAUUUGUUUUAAGCGUCUGGGAUAUUUCCGCAAUUAAAAUUCAAUAAAAAUUUUGAUUACUCAAUAAGGGUUCGGUUUCAAAA